rnacentral:tRNA from 1 species
AAGUCCCGGAGCCUUAUGGGGCUCUUCUUCAAACUUGCAUUUUGAUGUGGUGACACCUCGAGACUCA